UAGACAGAUUAUUGUAUUUGACUGUAUUCACGAUAUGUAUUUGUGAAUACAGUAACGUAAAUAGCACAAUUCAUGGUCUAUUCAGCUGAUUUUAAACGAAAAGUGAAUCAAUUAACAUAAUAGACUCCU
rfam:Nicotiana attenuata strain TT chromosome 1, whole genome shotgun sequence.